AGUGGCGGACGGGUGAGUAAUGCUUGGGAACUUGCCUUUGCGAGGGGGAUAACAGUUGGAAACGACUGCUAAUACCGCAUAAUGUCUUCGGACCAAGCGGGGCUUAGGCUCCGGCGCAAAGGGAGGCCCAAGUGAGAUUAGCUAGAUGGUGAGGUAAAGGCUCACCAUGGCGACGAUCUCUAGCUGUUCUGAGAGGAAGAUCAGCCACACUGGGACUGAGACACGGCCCAGACUCCUACGGGAGGCAGCAGUGGGGAAUAUUGCACAAUGGGGGAAACCCUGAUGCAGCCAUGCCGCGUGUGUGAAGAAGGCCUUCGGGUUGUAAAGCACUUUCAGUUGUGAGGAAAAGUUGGUAGUUAAUACCUGCCAGCCGUGACGUUAGCAACAGAAGAAGCACUGGCUAACUCCGUGCCAGCAGCCGCGGUAAUACGGAGGGUGCGAGCGUUAAUCGGAAUUACUGGGCGUAAAGCGCACGCAGGCGGUUUGUUAAGCUAGAUGUGAAAGCCCCGGGCUCAACCUGGGACGGUCAUUUAGAACUGGCAGACUAGAGUCUUGGAGAGGGGAGUGGAAUUCCAGGUGUAGCGGUGAAAUGCGUAGAUAUCUGGAGGAACAUCAGUGGCGAAGGCGACUCCCUGGCCAAAGACUGACGCUCAUGUGCGAAAGUGUGGGUAGCGAACAGGAUUAGAUACCCUGGUAGUCC
rnacentral:rRNA from 1 species